AAGAUCUUCACAGCAAUUAUACUAAAAUUGGAACAACGCAGAGAAGAUCCACACGGCCCUUGCUCAAGGAUAAUACACCGAUUCGUGAAGCGUUCCAUGUUUGU